rnacentral:sRNA from 1 species
UUCCCAGCCCAGGAGAGUGCUGCCCUGUGUUCACCCCAGUACAGCACAGCAGUGGCAUCAAUUCUUCACACACCUCCCACACGCCUGUGUGCCUCAAAACUGAUCUGGAGGGAGCACACUAAAGAGCAGGCAGGCAGUUUGUUCCCAUGGCCCAUUUGAUCCUUGGCCUCU